GACCGACGGGAGCUUGCUCCCUUAGGUUAGCGGCGGACGGGUGAGUAACACGUGGGUAACCUGCCUGUAAGACUGGGAUAACUCCGGGAAACCGGGGCUAAUACCGGAUGCUUGAUUGAACCGCAUGGUUCAAUUAUAAAAGGUGGCUUUUAGCUACCACUUACAGAUGGACCCGCGGCGCAUUAGCUAGUUGGUGAGGUAACGGCUCACCAAGGCAACGAUGCGUAGCCGACCUGAGAGGGUGAUCGGCCACACUGGGACUGAGACACGGCCCAGACUCCUACGGGAGGCAGCAGUAGGGAAUCUUCCGCAAUGGACGAAAGUCUGACGGAGCAACGCCGCGUGAGUGAUGAAGGUUUUCGGAUCGUAAAACUCUGUUGUUAGGGAAGAACAAGUACCGUUCGAACAGGGCGGUACCUUGACGGUACCUAACCAGAAAGCCACGGCUAACUACGUGCCAGCAGCCGCGGUAAUACGUAGGUGGCAAGCGUUGUCCGGAAUUAUUGGGCGUAAAGCGCGCGCAGGCGGUUUCUUAAGUCUGAUGUGAAAGCCCCCGGCUCAACCGGGGAGGGUCAUUGGAAACUGGGGAACUUGAGUGCAGAAGAGGAGAGUGGAAUUCCACGUGUAGCGGUGAAAUGCGUAGAGAUGUGGAGGAACACCAGUGGCGAAGGCGACUCUCUGGUCUGUAACUGACGCUGAGGCGCGAAAGCGUGGGGAGCGAACAGGAUUAGAUACCCUGGUAGUCCACGCCGUAAACGAUGAGUGCUAAGUGUUAGAGGGUUUCCGCCCUUUAGUGCUGCAGCAAACGCAUUAAGCACUCCGCCUGGGGAGUACGGUCGCAAGACUGAAACUCAAAGGAAUUGACGGGGGCCCGCACAAGCGGUGGAGCAUGUGGUUUAAUUCGAAGCAACGCGAAGAACCUUACCAGGUCUUGACAUCCUCUGACAACCCUAGAGAUAGGGCUUCCCCUUCGGGGGCAGAGUGACAGGUGGUGCAUGGUUGUCGUCAGCUCGUGUCGUGAGAUGUUGGGUUAAGUCCCGCAACGAGCGCAACCCUUGAUCUUAGUUGCCAGCAUUCAGUUGGGCACUCUAAGGUGACUGCCGGUGACAAACCGGAGGAAGGUGGGGAUGACGUCAAAUCAUCAUGCCCCUUAUGACCUGGGCUACACACGUGCUACAAUGGGCAGAACAAAGGGCAGCGA
rnacentral:rRNA from 1 species